UAAUGCAUAUCAAAUGAGCACUACACUUGCAAUCAGCUGUGCUUUUUCCCUUGAGCCCGUUCUCCGUCUCACCCGGUGUAGCAGAAAGGAGGAGCUUACGUCCAAGUGGUGAUGUUAGAAGAACCAGAGAACAUGUCUGGAAAAUGUGCUUUACAUCCUCACCAUCUUCCAGCUGAGUGGACAAGACUGAGGCGACCCAGAAGCCUGUUGCGUGACAACUGGUCCAGGAAUCUGCACCUUGAUCCUCCACUUCCACUCCACAGAGGUUGCACGGUGCCUCUGCGGAGGAGCAGAUGGUUCUUCUGCUUCAACCCAGCACUUCCUCCCAGUUGGAGCAUCUCUCUGACAGAUGGGCCCAGGAUCCUGGACCAGCCUAAUCUCCAGCACUCCUCCACUUAAAGGCACAGUGGAACUACAGCUCUACCUCCUCAGUCCCCACUGAGCCAGGAUCAUUAGGAGACAUCAAUAAAGCCAGCCUGACUGCUGCUGUCACGUACAGCUGAACCGAUCAUGCAUUAGAAGCUUUACUAAAUUAUAAUGCAAUUUUACUUUAAAAUGACAGGAAGCAGGAGGCUAAGUCAGUUAUUCCACAGUGUUAACAUUAGAGAAACAGUACAACAGAACAAAGGAUAAAUGGGGGGAAAGAUUGGAUAUUUCCUUGAAAUUCAUGGAUUAAAAUUACUUUUGCAUACAUUGUUUAAUCAUUCAAUUUCAAACUAAAAUUGCUGUCACUUUUUUGUAAAUUCGCAUGUCUUGCUUGCACAUACAAAAUGCCUCCUCCCUUUCUCGCCCGUCUGCCUGCUUGCUUUGCUUUGACCGGGUCUUGACCACGUCUGCGCUCUAUGGAGCCAAAGUUGACAUGUCGACAAUUCCCACAACUAUAACGGACUUUGGAAAUGCCAGGAGAUAUUCCGCUGCUCCCUGUGCCCGAGCCAGCUCGAAGGGAAAUCGGCUUUUAAUCAUUCGCUGCGGCGAAUCGGCACGUUGUCGACAGUUUUCAAAUAAAUGUACAGCACAGGAGAGGCGACACUCUGCCCGAAGCGAGCAGGGGAGAAGCCCCCUUCAGUGCUCAGAUAAUGUCAAGGAGCUGUGUGCUCAUGUGAGAGUCCAAAUGUUGAAAUUCGGCAAAAUAAAAGAACAGCAGAGGGCUACUUUGACAUGAAAGAAGUAUUGAAAAUAUAUUCGGACAGCUUCGCCUGCCUUACACAGACGGCUGGAAAUGACGCACACGAAAGGAAAUCACCAAUGUACUGAGUUGGCAGCAAAGUAAUUAUUCAGAAUUUUAUAAAUGUCUAAAUU